GACGAACGCUGGCGGCGUGCUUAACACAUGCAAGUCGAGCGGUAAGGCCCUUCGGGGUACACGAGCGGCGAACGGGUGAGUAACACGUGAGCAACCUGCCCCUGACUCCGGGAUAAGCGGUGGAAACGCCGUCUAAUACCGGAUACGACACGCCACCUCAUGGUGGCGGGUGGAAAGUUUUAUCGGUCAGGGAUGGACUCGCGGCCUAUCAGCUUGUUGGUGGGGUAACGGCCUACCAAGGCGAUUACGGGUAGCCGGCCUGAGAGGGCGACCGGCCACACUGGGACUGAGACACGGCCCAGACUCCUGCGGGAGGCAGCAGUGGGGAAUAUUGCGCAAUGGGCGAAAGCCUGACGCAGCGACGCCGCGUGGGGGAUGACGGCCUUCGGGUUGUAAACCUCUUUUACCACCAACGCAGGCUCCCGGUUCUCCGGGGGUUGACGGUAGGUGGGGAAUAAGGACCGGCUAACUACGUGCCAGCAGCCGCAGUAACAC
rnacentral:rRNA from 1 species